GCGUUCGUAGCUCAGCUGGAUAGAGCGACGGACUUCGAAUCCGUAGGCCGCAGGUUCGAGUCCUGUCGGACGCA
rnacentral:tRNA from 2 species